rnacentral:misc_RNA from 1 species
GGAUCAGCACUUGCUACUGCACCGGCUCCACUUGCAUGUGCACCUGUUUCCAUGCACCUGUAGAAUAGUACGAAUUCCGCGAAUACGCCUAGCGGUAAAGACCCCAACUAUUUCAUUCAUUGUUUCGUUCGUCCGCACCCCAGACGAAAAAUUGAUAGUAGACAGCAGCAGGCAAUGAAUCGUGGUUAGGGUUGUAACAAUAAAGAGCAUGAGAACUGUCGGAUGAGAAUUUUUGUAUUACCAAGAAAGAGAGGUGUGCUACUGGUUUAUCCUCAAGUCAGGAAGCUGGGGUAAUAGACUCUAGUGAUACCAAUUGCUUGUCAGCGAAUUCAGAUCAGUCAAUAUUAUCAUCUGGUACAAGCGACAUGACUCCAAAAAAAAUGAGACUCGCCACCAAAGUGCAGAAUCUCGUGAGAAAUAGAAAACAGCUUGAAGCAGAAAAUGGCAUAGCACUGGAGUCUGAUGUACCCAAGGCUGCAUCUAAGACGAGCACUACGAUGGAAAUAGCAAAGGGAAAGGCGAAGUUAAACUUGGGAAGCCUGCUGCCUAAAGGAACGGAGCCUGAUAAAGUAAAAUCUAAUAAACGUCUGCUGCGGGCAGUCGUGGAUAUGGAAAUGAUGAAAAGUGAACUGAAGCAGCGUCAAGAUCCACCCACAACUUCGGAGGAACAGCUUUUGUCCGCCAACCGACUUGGUUUCGAAUUUUUCGACGUCCCAAGUGAGACACUGGCGAAAAAUCUUCUAGGGAAGAUUCUGGUGAGACGACUGGAGAACGGCACCAUUUUGAAGGGCAAAAUAGUCGAGACCGAGGCGUAUCUUGGUGGCGAAGACCGGGCGUCGCAGACCUACAGGAACAAAAUCACCCCCCGUAACGUCCCCAUGUACAUGCCACCCGGAACGAUUUACGUCUAUCUGACGUACGGCAUGUAUCACUGCUUCAACAUAUCCUCCAAAGGUGAGUUGCUGCAUCCUGCCACAGCACCAGGGGCCUCGGUUUUCAUCAGAGCGCUGGAGCCAAUUAUUGGCCACAGCUACAUGGAACUGUUGCGCAAUACGCAGCUCAGCAAGGGAUCCAAAGAGAAGGUCAUGACGCAGAAGUUAAGAAUUUUGAAGGCGCACCAGCUCUGCAACGGGCCCGCGAAACUCUGCACCGCGCUCGAGAUCGACAAAGAAGCCUUCAAUGAAAAAGACAUCACAAAAUGUUCGAGCCUGUGGGUCGAGAACGACGAGUUGAAUAACGAUACUUCCCUUACCAUCAUAUCCGCGCCUCGCAUCGGUAUCGAGUCUGCGGAGUCAGAGUGGGCCGCAAAGCCCCUUCGGUUUUACAUAUUCAAUAACGCUAGCGUUAGCCAGAGAAAUUUCGCGUGCGAAAACUGGUUCUGAUCAUAAGCUGAGGAACGAAUAUAACGACCUUUUAGAGUUCUUGUAAAUUCCAGUAGAUGAUCAGCGUGUAGUGAAGGAAGCGGCGUGCUAAUCAGAGCGCUGGCGCCUAUCGAGGGAAUGGACCAGAUGGCAGAGUUUAGAAAUUUGCCACUACCAGGUUCGAAGUCGAAGCAAGGCGUCGACAGGCCAAAAAAAUCGGCGAAGAAC